CUAGUCUCCAUGUCGUCAAUCUUCGGAUAUUUGAAGCAUUUGAACUAUUAUGGAUGUCCUUUAACCCUACUUUUGCACUUUUCAAAGCGCUUAAAUUUGAAUAACAGACAAGACAAUGCUACCUAUGGCAAUAAUUAACAGAAAUAGAAGACGAAGAGACAAUCAGCAAAUUAUUUCUUUCAGGAGGCAUUUGAGGGAUAACAGUAACUCUUUUAUCUAUGGAUAACAGUAAUCCAUUUGCAUUGCCUGAACGUGGAUUUAUUGAAUUGUUUAGGCUUAACAAAGAACUUGCUCGACAGCUUAUUGAUGAACUUAAUGCAGAACUGUCUAGAAGAAAAAAUAAUAGAGGCAUAUCUUUAGAAAUAAAAGUAUUAUCAACACUACGAUUCUUGGCAACUGGAUGUUAUCAGAGAUGCGUCGGAGAAGAGCAUAAUUUUGGUCUGAAUCAAACAUCGGUGCAUGUCAGUGGUGCCUGCAAUAAUUAAGUUUGGCACAAUAAAAUUAGUUUUCCGUCAACGAGACACGAAAGAAUUGCCACAAAACAACAGUUUUUAAAUAUUUGGGGAUUUCCUGGAACAGUGGGUGCAAUUGAUUGCACCCAUAUAGCAAUUUUAAAGCCUCACAUAGACGAACAUAAUUUUAUUAAUAGGAAGGGUUUUCAUUCAAUUAAUUGCCAAAUUAUUUGUAACGCAGACUUGAAAAUAUUGAAUGUUUUUAGCAAUUUUGGAGGAAAAAAUCACGAUUCUUUUAUUCGUCGUUGAAAACUCUCCAGAAGCCAGAUACAACAGAGCACACAUGGCAGCUCGAAACUGCGUGGAAAGGUGUAUUGGUCUUUUAAAAAUGCGGUUUAGGUGUGUAGCUAGAGUUUUAAGAUAUGAACCCGUCUUUGUGUCAGAAAUAAUUACGGCUUGUGCUAUUUUGCACAAUGUGUGUAUUACAAACAAUAUUAAUAUAAUAGGUGAACUAGAACAGUACGAGAGAUUUGAGCAACAUGGAGAAUUAGUGUUAAACCAGGGAGGACGAUUACAAGGAUUAAGAGCAAGACAAACAAUUGUAAAUAGAUAUUUUACUUAAAUAAAGUAUUCAAAAAUU